AUGAGUGACCCACUAAAAAUCUCACCCCACACUAAUUUGUUCCGAAGAAAGUCACAAGUAACCCACCAAUGGAGUGUUGCUUACACCAAAGUGUGGCCCUCUGAUUCGAGGAUGCGAAAAGUCACAAGUGACUCACUAAUCUUGGAUUUCACCGAAGUGGCAUGGCACUAUCAAGAAUCAAGAGAGUUGUUAAUGUCAUCCCCUGCCCCCAUACACGUGAGCGCCAUGAGGCACAUCACCCUGCCCACCCAACCUAAUUAUCCCAGGGGCAUUCCUGUCCACCACCCCUGUAUAUAUACUCCUGAUACCACCGUGACCAAAUCAAACAAGCUCCAUUCAUCUAUUCUUCGUCUCCACCGAUCCCUUUGGUAG
rnacentral:rRNA from 1 species